CAGCUUGAGGAGAUCGCAGAUAAGUUUUU
rnacentral:piRNA from 1 species